CCCGGCCUCGGGCUCCGCAGAGGCGGCGGGCGCUCGCUGCCCUGGUCCUUCAGCACCCGCGGGCCGGGCUGGAGCCGGCCCAGGAAGGUCGUUUCCCUGUAGUUUACACCAUGGCAGGCAGGUUUUGUAGACAUGAAUAGGAAGUUCGCACGCACAAGUCCUGAAGAUGCCAGGGCCAGCAGAAAUGAAGGUGGGAGCUUUUCUCACUGCAAACACAAACAAACGGGGACAAAAGAGCAAAGCCAGAAACACCACCAACCCCAACGUAGAUCAACAUCUUUCUCUUCAGAUGACAGUUUAUUUCCCUCUUCUUCUUCGUCUUCUGAGAGCGAGACAGAUUCAAGUAUUAACGAUUCUACCAACAGAAAAGUUAAGAGAAAGAGAGGACAGAAAAGGAAUAAAAGGAGAA